rnacentral:rRNA from 1 species
GAUGACGCUGGCGGCGUGCCUAAUACAUGCAAGUCGAACGCACAGCGAAAGGUGCUUGCACCUUUCAAGUGAGUGGCGAACGGGUGAGUAACACGUGGACAACCUGCCUCAAGGCUGGGGAUAACAUUUGGAAACAGAUGCUAAUACCGAAUAAAACUUAGUGUCGCAUGACGCAAAGUUAAAAGGCGCUUCGGCGUCACCUAGAGAUGGAUCCGCGGUGCAUUAGUUAGUUGGUGGGGUAAAGGCCUACCAAGACAAUGAUGCAUAGCCGAGUUGAGAGACUGAUCGGCCACAUUGGGACUGAGACACGGCCCAAACUCCUACGGGAGGCUGCAGUAGGGAAUCUUCCACAAUGGGCGAAAGCCUGAUGGAGCAACGCCGCGUGUGUGAUGAAGGCUUUCGGGUCGUAAAGCACUGUUGUAUGGGAAGAACAGCUAGAAUAGGAAAUGAUUUUAGUUUGACGGUACCAUACCAGAAAGGGACGGCUAAAUACGUGCCAGCAGCCGCGGUAAUACGUAUGUCCCGAGCGUUAUCCGGAUUUAUUGGGCGUAAAGCGAGCGCAGACGGUUUAUUAAGUCUGAUGUGAAAGCCCGGAGCUCAACUCCGGAAUGGCAUUGGAAACUGGUUAACUUGAGUGCAGUAGAGGUAAGUGGAACUCCAUGUGUAGCGGUGAAUGCGUAGAUAUAUGGAAGAACACCAGUGGCGAAGGCGGCUUACUGGACUGCAACUGACGUUGAGGCUCGAAAGUGUGGGUAGCAAACAGGAUUAGAUACCCUGGUAGUCCACACCGUAAACGAUGAACACUAGGUGUUAGGAGGUUUCCGCCUCUUAGUGCCGAAGCUAACGCAUUAAGUGUUCCGCCUGGGGAGUACGACCGCAAGGUUGAAACUCAAAGGAAUUGACGGGGACCCGCACAAGCGGUGGAGCUUGUGGUUNAUUCGAAGCAACNCGAA